AGACUACCCGCUGAAUUUAAGCAUAUCAAUAA
rnacentral:rRNA from 1 species